GUCUAAGUACAAGCCUCACUAAGGUGAAACCGCGAAUGGCUCAUUAAAUCACACCUAAUCUACUGGAUAGUUAACAGUUACUUGGAUAACUGCGGUAAUUCUGGAGCUAAUACAUGCACAAAGCCCCGAACUUACGUGAGGGGCGCUUUUAUUAGAUCAAAACCAAACGGCUUCGGCUGUACUCUUGGUGACUCUGAAUAACUUUGGGCUGAUCGUACGGCCUAGCGCCGACGACAUAUCCUUCGAAGGUGUGCCCUAUCAACUGUCGACUGUGGCAUAGACGCCCACAGUGGUUUUGACGGGUAACGGGGAAUCAGGGUUCGAUUCCGGAGAGGGAGCCUUAAAAACGGCUACCACAUCUAAGGAAGGCAGCAGGCACGCAAAUUACCCAACGACCGAAGGUCGAGGUAGUGACAAAAAAUAACGAUACGGGACUCAUCUGAGGCCCCGUAAUCGGAAUGAGUACACUUUAAAACCGUCCCCGAGGAUCUAUU
rnacentral:rRNA from 1 species